UAGCGGCCCUUGAGGUACGUCGGCUUGUGGACGCUCUGGAAGUACCUCUGCUUCUCCAAGAUCUUCUCCCUCGGCUGGAACGGCGGCUCCGGCUCCGGCGACGACGACGGCGCCAGCGGCGACAUCCCCUAGCUCAAAGAAGCUGAACUGCUGGAGCUGUCGACUUUAAUAGACACGCCCGAGUCGUCGACCAGAAACCCCCAGAAAGCGCGCAAGAAGAACAAAGCUACGGUCACGUCCAAGUGGGCUACUUCUCCGUCAGACGUCGAACCCCACCACCGAAGCACCGCGGUCUGUCUAGGCGUCUAGCCCGUUCGAUUCGGUUGAGCACUUGAGCUAGAGACCAGACGUCUCCGAAAGGCUCCAGAACGUUCUGCGGUUUGCCGGGACGAGAAAUCGGGACGGCCCGGCAUGAACAGAGAGGAUCGAUCCCGUGCUUCACGAACGGGAAAAGGCUUCCGCCUUCGGCCUCCACGCCCCGCCCGCCGCAGCGACUGUUCUGCUCGUGUUUCUGUUAUUAUGGCCUGCCACUGGAAGGUACCUUGUUCAUACCCAAAUCAAAUAUAUCGGAGUAUUUGGUAACACUUCAUUUAAAAAAAAAAGACAGUUCCAUUCCACCAACUUCACCUUCCUCCAACUCUACUCCAUCAAAUCUAAAAAAAUGUAAAGUUGAUCCCCCUGUUUAGCUAAUGAGAUGCUCCAACUCUAGAA